AAUUCAUUGCGCAUCUGAAAGCGCGUCAUAGUUCAUUUUUAUAUGUUGGGAUUGGUCUUGUUGUUUUGAUUAUGAUAAAACGUUCUGAAUUCGUAUUGUGCUAGCGUCGAUGGAAAUGCAAAACUAGGUUGGUUCCAGCACACUUUGGAAGUGGAUAAACCCGUCGCAAUAAACUUACCAUGGAGUGCAUUUUCGUCAAGGUUUGUGCGACCCAUAAUGUCCUGACAAAGAUUCGUCGUCGAGCAAGAAGCAAUUGGUUAAAGUACGAUAAAGGAUGACCGGAGAGAAAAAAAUCUGGGAGCACGUUGACGGAAUUGAGGGUCUGAAGAAAUGGAAACCAAAGCUAUCACAAUCUGUGGCAAAAUGCAAUAAGGCCGAUAAAUUUGCAGUCAUCAUUUCUGCAAAAUUUCUAAACCUGUUCUAAUUUAUCCGUUAUGAUCUUUUUGGAAAAAAAAAUCAUUAUCCUACGAGAAUCGGACAAAGUCGAAGGAUGCCCAAUGGGAAUAAACAUUUGGAGAUAAGCUGACGAAACAACAAUCAGGUUUAGAAUUGUUAAAACUAACAACAACAGGCAGACGAAAAUUCAAACUUUUCUCCGAAAUUUCGCUGCUUGUUUUCUGAGUUUGUCCGGAACAAACAUCGGCUAGCUGCUACAUUGGACGCCUCACGUCACGUCACGUCCAUGAUAAGUAAUGGAUUAUGGGCUCUCGAAAAAGGACAAGACCAUAGGAAAACUUCCGUGAACCCGGUGAACGAAAUCUUGACAGUGGUGUUGGUAAUAACGGCCAAAUUACACCCUGAUUCUGGCCUUUCAUCGGGGAUUCCGGGCUAAAAAGUGUACUUGCAUGUCGGAGCAGAAGAAGCCUUUAUCAACUUUGCUCAUUUCCGUGGCUCUACCAAAAGGCGUUACUGGCUAGAUCCUUUCCAAUUAUUGCUAGAAGUUUGAAAAGGAACGUUUGGUUAUAUUCUUUUUAAAGGCAAACAAUUGCAUCAAUUUAUGAGAAGUCUAUUCGGCGCUUGCUCCCUAUUACAGCCCCCUCCAUCGUAUCCUGAUAGCUGCGCGCUUCGGAAUCAAAUGUGAUAACCAUUGUUUAAAACAAUGAUAUAAAAUUUGAAUGAAGAUAAAUAGUAGGUGACAAAAAAUUUCAAAUAACAGGAUAAACAUAAAUGAAAACACCCUCAUCUAAAUAACACACACACACGCACAAACACACACACACACACACACACACACACACACACACACACAAACAGACACACACACACACACUCAUACACUCUUAAACGAAAAUGUAGCACACCAAAAACAUAAAUUUGAAAUGUUGAAUAAAAAUG